rnacentral:SRP_RNA from 1 species
UCGAUGGGUGCGGGCGACGCUACACCUCGAACCUGGUCAGGGUCGGAAGGCAGCAGCCAUAAGGGGCCUCUGGCGGGCGCCCGUUCCCAUCGAGUGC